rnacentral:rRNA from 1 species
UUUAUUGGAGAGUUUGAUCCUGGCUCAGGAUGAACGCUGGCGGCGUGCCUAAUACAUGCAAGUCGAGCGAAUGGAUUAAGAGCUUGCUCUUAUGAAGUUAGCGGCGGACGGGUGAGUAACACGUGGGCAACCUGCCCAUAAGACUGGGAUAACUCCGGGAAACCGGGGCUAAUACCGGAUAACAUUUUGAACCGCAUGGUUCGAAAUUGAAAGGCGG